GCUGAAAUUAUAGAGUUUACAGUCAAAGUAGUAUUUGUUGAAGACAAAAUUUGUAAAUACAUUUGGAGUUUGUUUUCAAAAUGAUAUUGAUACUUUCUGCAAAACUAUUUUGAUGAAUGUCGUACAACCAUUUAAAUUCUAAGGCACUGUCACUUCUCAUUUUGCUUGAUGACAGCAUUACCUUCAACAUAUCUGAAAUGUUCCUCUCAUCUUUCCACAUUCAUCAUCUAAACAUAUUCCUUCAUUCCUUUCACAUUAGUGCUUAUAAAUAUAUAUGCUGUUGUACCUUACGUACACUUUGUGGCUUAAAAAAUAAUUUUGUUCAUAUUUUAAAUAGCAUUAGUUUGCAAGUUGAGUGACUCCAGUUUAUUGGGGUUGUAUGUCUGGCAUAUGAAAAAAGGGAAGGAGAACAAAUAUUCACAUGAUUUUAUUUUUUAAAGUAUGAACAUUUAGUUUUGAUUAUCAUAUAAUCUAUUUAUGCCACUGCACAAAGUAAAGUGAUAUAGAUGUGGCUUUAUACUUAACCCCUUUUCUGCCAGAGACACAAGCUACAAAGUAUUGGAUCCCUUUUUUGGCAACCGAGGGAUUAAGGGUAAAUAUAAAUGAUGGACAACUGGUAGAUUUUGGAGGCAUCCGUUGUCACCCACUCUUUCUUUUUCUGGAAGAAGACAGUAUGCCCCCUUUUUACCACAACCUACAUGUUUCUCCAGGAGCCUGGAAGUCACAGCACAUUUUUACUUCUGGCUUAAAAGGUUCUUGCAUUGUUCUUUGCAGAGCUACAAAGUGAGACAGAGACUCAAUAGAACUCUGAUCAGCGCUGUUGCACUGCACUCGCUCUCUUCAGCUGCCACCUGCCCAUGAUGACAGCAUCACUAGUGGCAUGUUUGGCCAGGGAGGAUGGGUACCUUUUGGCUCGGUAGACACAAACAAACCAGUGGCCCAGGUAUCUAAAUGAAAUCCAGAUUUCAAGAGAAGUAAGAACUUUGUGGAUCAAACAACACACUAGAAGAUUUUUUUUGCUUCAUGCCUUUGAAAUAUGCCAGGAUCAUAAUUGUAUUCAAAACAUUUCCGUCAUCCACAUGAAAAAAAUAUUUUCUGAUUGAAACUAAAUAGCAGUUGUGUAUCUCCUACCAAGUAAUCUGAUAGGUUCUUCCUACUAUUGCUAGUUUGGUGAAAGGUCCGUCCUGUUGAUUCUUUUUGACUAACAAGUACAAUGAGUAUUUGUGGGAGGUACACAAGAGAUAUGGCUGUAUUUUAGUUGAUUUACACUUAAACAGUUAUCAAUUUACAUUUUUAGGCACAAAUAUACUGAUCUUUCAGGAUGA